AGGGAAAAGCCCAGCACUGAAUCCCGCGGCCGAUACCGGACGCUGGGAAAUGUAGUGUUAGGGAGUAUUCAUUAUCCCGUGGUUGUGCGACGCGUCCAAGUCCUUCUUGAACGGGGCCACUGCCCAUAGAGGGUGCCAGGCCCGUAGGGACUGUCGCCGAUCGCGGGUGAAUAUCUCCUCAGAGUCGGUUUGCUUGAGAGUGCAAACCUAAGUGGGUGGUAAACUCCAUCUAAGGCUAAAUAUAACCACGAGACCGAUAGCGAACAAGUACCGUGAGGGAAAGUUGAAAAGCACUUUGAAGAGAGAGUUCAAUAGUACGUGAAACCGUUCAGGGGUAAACCUGAGAAACCCGAAAGAUCGAAUGAGGAAAUUCAUUCGCGUUUCGGCCUUUGCUGAGRAUGAUCGUGCGACGUUUGGGGUUUUCCUUGAGCGCUCCUUUUGUUCUCUGAUCUUGGGUCGUACGUGUGCAAUUUUCCUCUAGUAGGUCGUCGCGAUCCGUUGAGUGUCGGCCUAAGGCUCAUGGUGGAGCCCGUUCGAACGGUUUACGCCGUUUCGAGCGGACCCGUGAAGUUCCCGGCCGACUCGCUCGACGGUGUACAGAUGACGCGGGAGCGCGAAUCUAAUUCGCGUCCAGCCCAUUGCAAGCACGUUCGGCGCGAACGAUAAUCGGACCUGGUCCGGUUCCGUCCCCAAACGACUGUUGGCAGUGGUGUUCUUGGACCGUCUCCUUUGAUACGUCGAUCUGCGACGCUUUAGCUUUGGGUACUUUCAGGACCCGUCUUGAAACACGGACCAAGGAGUCUAGCAUGUGCGCGAGUCAAUGGGAMAUGACUAAACCCAAAGGCGAAAUGAAAGUGAAGGUUUGAGGUGGCAAACCGAGGGAAGAUGGGCGGUUACACGACAAGUGUCUGCUCCGCAUUCCCGGGGCGUCUCGUUCUCAUUGCGAGAAGAGGCGCACCUAGAGCGUACAUGCUGGGACCCGAAAGAUGGUGAACUAUGCCUGGUCAGGACGAAGUCAGGGGAAACCCUGAUGGAGGUCCGUAGCGAUUCUGACGUGCAAAUCGAUCGUAAGAACUGGGUAUAGGGGCGAAAGACUAAUCGAACCAUCUAGUAGCUGGUUCCCUCCGAAGUUUCCCUCAGGAUAGCUGGCACUCGUUUGUACGAGUUUCAUCUGGUAAAGCGAAUGAUUAGAGGCAUUGGGGUCGAAACGACCUCAACCUAUUCUCAAACUUUAAAUGGGUGAGAUCUUCGGCUUGCUUGAACUUAUGAAGCCGCAAGAUACGAAUCAGAGUGCCAAGUGGGCCAUUUUUGGUAAGCAGAACUGGCGCUGUGGGAUGAACCAAACGCCGAGUUAAAGCGCCUAAACAAUGCUAAUGGGACACCAUGAAAGGCGUUGGUAACUUAAGACAGCAGGACGGUGGCCAUGGAAGUCGGAAUCCGCUAAGGAGUGUGUAACAACUCACCUGCCGAAGUUACUAGCCCUGAAAAUGGAUGGCGCUGAAGCGUUGUGCUUAUACUCGGCCGUCAGUGGCAUGAGUGGUCUGUCCCCGUCAAACGGGUCGGCCAUGAAGCCCUGAUGAGUAGGAGGGUCGCGACGGUGUGCGUAGAAGGAUUGGCCGUGAGGCCGUCUGGAGCCGCCGUCGGUGCAGAUCUUGGUGGUAGUAGCAAAUACUCCAGCGAGGCCCUGGAGGACUGACGUGGAGAAGGGUUUCGUGUGAACAGCUGUUGCACACGAGUCAGUCGAUCCUAAGCCUUAGGCGAAAGCCGAUGUUGAUGUGGUGUAUUUAUUUAUAGCAAAUAGUGCACACCCAACAGGCGAAAGGGAAUCCGGUUCCUAUUCCGGAACCCGGUGGCGGAACCGCUUAUAAUUCGGGCCCUCAUUCGUGAGUGUUCGUCGGGGUAACCCAACAGGACCCAGAGACGCCGUCGGGAGAUCCGGGAAGAGUUUUCUUUUCUGUUUGAGCGUUCGAGUUCCAUGGAAUCCUUUAGCAGGGAGAUAUGGUUUGGAACGCGAAGAGCACCGCAGUUGCGGCGGUGUCCGGAUCUUCCCCUCGGACCUUGAAAAUCUGGGAGAGGGCCACGUGGAGGCGUCGCACCGGUUCGUACCCAUAUCCGCAGC
rnacentral:rRNA from 1 species